rnacentral:rRNA from 1 species
GUUAGGAAUAUUGGACAAUGGGCGCAAGCCUGAUCCAGCAAUCCCGCGUGCAGGAAGAAGGCCUUCGGGUUGUAAACUGCUUUUGUACGGAACGAAACGGCUCUGGUUAAUACCCGGGGCUAAUGACGGUACCGUAAGAAUAAGCACCGGCUAACUACGUGCCAGCAGCCGCGGUAAUACGUAGGGUGCAAGCGUUAAUCGGAAUUACUGGGCGUAAAGCGUGCGCAGGCGGUUUUGUAAGACAGGCGUGAAAUCCCCGGGCUCAACCUGGGAAUGGGGCUUGUGACUGCAAAGCUGGAGUGAGGCAGAGGGGGAUGGAAUUCCGCGUGUAGCAGUGAAAUGCGUAGAUAUGCGGAGGAACACCGAUGGCGAAGGCAAUCCCCUGGGCCUGCACUGACGCUCAUGCACGAAAGCGUGGGGAGCAAACAGGAUUAGAAACCCGGGUAGUCC